UGCUGCUGUACCAGGGUAACAAGUUGCCCAACCUUGAUGGUACAUGGGGAAGCACAUGAACUACAGUGAACUUGAACCUGAGAUGGGCAGGAUGACCAGGGGCUCUGACUUCUCAGAGUCUGAAUCCUGACACCAGUGCCGGAGAAGUGGAGACAAGCGGAUCCCUGGAGCCCAUUGGCCAGAGCUUGAAAGAAAAGCACCAUGUUAAAGGCACUCACAGAGAAAAAAAGGGUUAUCUGCAAAGAAUAAUGAUUGUGGAACCAUAUUAGGCUUUGAGAGACCACUGUCAUCUUUAAAGAAAUACCAACAUCAUGGAACACAAGUGUAUCAGAAUUCUUUCCAUGUGCUGAGCUUUGUUCUGAAAAUGCACCGUCUAGAAGCUUUAUGACCCAGAAAAGAUACUGGCAGAAGACAGGAAUUUCAUGGUGAGGGACAAAAAACUUUCUCACUCAAGCAAAAGCAUUAGCCAACACUUCUCAUGGUUGCCAUUGGUUGUACAUGACUCCCAGGUCUCAUGGGGAUCCCAUCAUAGAUGACUGCACACAUAGUAGGUCUUCUAUAGAGUAAGAUUGCCAAGCUUGGGAAUUCACCACUCUUAUGGCAAUAGAGAGCAAGACUGAAUGCCUUAUUUGGAAAACCAUUACCCCAGGUCUCAUGAUUUUUUUUUUCAUGGAAAAUAAAAGAGGAGAAAUAAGAGCUGUUGAAGCUUUUCAUUUUCAAUGUAACCAGCAAGACAUUGUAAGGACACUCAAAGCCUAGGUAGCCUGCCUCUCCCACAUAAUUUACCAAUAGUUUACUAAUUAUAGGAAAUGGUAACUGCCAUCACAAAUCUCACAGAAUCCAACCACAAAAUAACACCUGCCCUAACAUAUAGAUGUAGACAUUGACCAGAGAAGUGAAUGACUUGUUUAAAGAUAAUAUGGUUUGGGGACCUGAUGGUUGUGGGUUCAAUAAUGAGACAUGAUAAAAAGGCUGCUCAUGUCAUCUGUUCAGGCUGCUGAGUGAGAUUUAGGGCUCAGGUCUAGUGUCUACAGAAUUCUUGAACCUGAAAGCUAAGGACUGCUAGACAAAAUGAUAACACACUGAGCUAUGUGCAUUGAGGUCCUUGCUUCCCAGUCAACUCCUCAGAGGGCAAAGAGUAGGGGUCAGGGUAGAGGUAGGGUACGUGAAAAGGGAGGCAAGGAGGGCCUCCAUCAAAGCAGCUUCGCUUU